GAUGAACGCUAGCGGCAGGCUUAACACAUGCAAGUCGAGGGGUAUUGGUUUUCGGACCAAGAGACCGGCGCACGGGUGCGUAACGCGUAUGCAAUCUACCUUUUGCAGAGGGAUAGCCCAGAGAAAUUUGGAUUAAUACCUCAUAGUAUAGUAGUUUCGCAUGAAACGACUAUUAAAGUUCCAACGGCAAAAGAUGAGCAUGCGUCCCAUUAGCUAGUUGGUAAGGUAACGGCUUACCAAGGCAACGAUGGGUAGGGGUCCUGAGAGGGAUAUCCCCCACACUGGUACUGAGACACGGACCAGACUCCUACGGGAGGCAGCAGUGAGGAAUAUUGGACAAUGGGCGCAAGCCUGAUCCAGCCAUGCCGCGUGCAGGAUGACGGUCCUAUGGAUUGUAAACUGCUUUAGUACAGGAAGAAACACUCCCUCGUGAGGGAGCUUGACGGUACUGUAAGAAUAAGGAUCGGCUAACUCCGUGCCAGCAGCCGCCGUAA
rnacentral:rRNA from 1 species